UACAGAGGGAGCUAGCGUUUUUCGGUAAUUAUUGGGCGUAAAGAGCGCGUAGGCGGCCAAUUAAGUUGAAAGUGAAAUCCCAGAGCUUAACUUUGGAAUGGCUUUCAAAACUAAUUGGCUCGAGUUUGGUAGAGGAUGAUGGAAUUCUUGGUGUAGGGGUAAAAUUCUUAGAUAUCAGGAGGAACACCGGUGGCGAAGGCGAUCAUCUGGGCCAUAACUGACGCUGAGGCGCGAAAGCGUGGGGAGCAAACAGGAUUAGAAA
rnacentral:rRNA from 1 species